rnacentral:rRNA from 1 species
GAUUGAACGCUGCGGCAUGCUUUACUACAUGCAAGUCGAACGGCAGCACGAGGGUGACCUUGGUGGCGAGUGGCGAACGGGUGAGUAAUACAUCGGAACGUAUCUUGAAGUGGGGGAUAACGCAUCGAAAGAUGUGCUAAUACCGCAUAUUCUCCAAGGAGGAAAGCAGGGGAUCGAAAGACCUUGUGCUUUUAGAGCGGCCGAUGCCUGAUUAGCUAAUUGGUGGGGUAAAGGCCUACCAAGGCAACGAUCAGUAGCUGGUUUGAGAGGACGACCAGCCACACUGGGACUGAGACACGGCCCAGACUCC